ACUUUUAAAGGACAGAAGU
rnacentral:tRNA from 1 species